UAAGGAAUAUUGGCCAAUGGACGCAAGUCUGAACCAGCCAUGCCGCGUGAAGGAUGAAGGUCCUCUGGAUUGUAAACUUCUUUUAUCUGGGACGAAAACGGGAUUUUUAUCUCAAUUGACGGUACCAGAGGAAUAAGCACCGGCUAACUCCGUGCCAGCAGCCGCGGUAAUACGGAGGGUGCGAGCGUUAUCCGGAUUUACUGGGUUUAAAGGGUGCGUAGGUGGGCUUAUAAGUCAGUGGUGAAAUCUCCGAGCUUAACUUGGAAACUGCCGUUGAUACUAUAGGUCUUGAAUUAUCUGGAGGUAAGCGGAAUAUGUCAUGUAGCGGUGAAAUGCUUAGAUAUGACAUAGAACACCAAUUGCGAAGGCAGCUUACUACAUAUAAAUUGACGCUGAGGCACGAAAGCGUGGGGAUCAAACA
rnacentral:rRNA from 1 species